AACUUUUUUAGGAAGGCUCUUAAGUCUCUUGAAGAAAUAGAGCCACACGUGCAGAAGGUCACUGAACAGCAGCACAUUGAUUAUCGCUUCAGUGGACUUGAAGAUGAUGAUGGGGACAAUGGUGAUGAUAAUGAAAAUUAUGAAAACGAUGAUGACGAUUACUAUAGUGAUGAUUAUGAUGACAAGGAUGAUGGUGAGCUGAGCUUUGACUAUGGAUUGGAUGAUCAAGAUCAGAACAUGGUUCCUACUUCACGGCACUCAAUGGAGGUGAUUAUUUAACAUGUUAUUUGUGGAUAAGAAAAGCUAACCAACUUCCCUGCUGAAGUGCAAUUGUUAUUUUUCUUUUGUGUUUGUGUGUAGAAUGGAUUCCAUUCUCCUGAUUGUUAUAAAGACUUCUCUAUGGACCUCACACAGGAACAAGAAAAUAUGAUUUAAUUCUAUUUGUGCCUCUAAAUGAAUUAAUUGUAGAACUGAUU
rnacentral:lncRNA from 1 species